rnacentral:rRNA from 1 species
AUCGAACGCUGGCGGCAGGCCUAACACAUGCAAGUCGAGCGAGCGGCGGACGGUUGAGUAAUGUCUGGGAAACUGCCUGUUGGAGGGGGAUAACUACUGGAAACGGUAGCUAAUACCGCAUACCAUCAGAUGUGCCCAGAUUGGAUUUGCUAGUAGGUGGGGUAACGGCUCUCCUAGGCGACGAUCCCUAGCUGGUCUGAGAGGUUGACCGGCCACACUGGAACUGAGACCCGGUCCAGACUCCUACGGGAGGCAGCGGUGGGGAAUAUUGCACAAUGGGCGAAAGCCUGAUGCAGCCAUGCCGCGUGUGUGAAGAAGGCCUUCGGGUUGUAAAGCACUUUCGGCGGGGAGGCGUUACCCGAAGAAGAAGCACCGGCUAACUCCGUGCCAGCAGCCGCGGUAAUAC